GGAUCCAGACUUUGAUCAUGGCUCAGGAUGAACGCUGGCGGCAUGCCUAAGACAUGCAAGUCGAACGAGAUGGCCCAGUGAAGGUUGAGUGCUUGCACGAGACUGAAUCUGGAUUCCCAUCUAGUGGCAGACGGGUGAGUAACACGUGGGUGACCUACCUUUUCGUUGGGGAUAACAGUUGGAAACGAUUGCUAAUACCGAAUAAAAUGUAAGAGUCAAUUUUACAUUGAAAGGAGCCUUUAAAGCUUCGCGAUUAGAUGGGCCUGCGGCGUAUUAACUAGUUGGUGAGGUAAUGGCUUACCAAGGUGACGAUGCGUAGCCGAACUGAGAGGUUGAUCGGCCACAUUGGGACUGAGACACGGCCCAAACUCCUACGGGAGACAGCAGUUAGGAAUAUUCGUCAAUGGAGGAAACUCUGAACGAGCAAUGCCGCGUGGGUGAUGAAGGUCUUAUAGAUUGUAAAACUCUGUUGUAUGGAAAAAACGGCUAGGUUAGGAAAUGAACUUAGUGUGAUGGUACCAUACCAGAAAGCCCCGGCUAACUACGUGCCAGCAGCCGCGGUAAUACGUAGGGGGCGAGCGUUAUCCGGAUUUAUUGGGCGUAAAGCGUGUGUAGGCGGUUUAUUAAGUUUAAGAUUAAAGCCCGGGGCUCAACUCCGGUAAGUCUUAAAAACUGGUAGACUUGAGUACGGUAGAGGCAAACGGAAUUUCUAGUGUAGCGGUGAAAUGCGUAGAUAUUAGAAGGAACACCAGUGGCGAAAGCGGUUUGCUGGGCCGUUACUGACGCUGAGGCACGAAAGCGUGGGGAGCAAAUAGGAUUAGAUACCCUAGUAGUCCACGCCGUAAACGAUGAGUACUAAGUGUUGGGGUUACCCAGUGCUGAAGCUAACGUAUUAAGUACUCCGCCUGAGUAGUACGGUCGCAAGGCUGCAACUCA
rnacentral:rRNA from 1 species